rnacentral:rRNA from 1 species
GACGAACGCUGGCGGCGUGCUUAACACAUGCAAGUCGCACGAGAAAGGGCUUCGGCCCCGGUAAAGUGGCGCACGGGUGAGUAACACGUGGGUAAUCUGCCCUCGAGCAGGGGAUAACAUUCCGAAAGGAGUGCUAAUACCGUAUGAGACCACGCUCUCGAAAGAGAGAGGGGUAAAAGCUGGCCUCUGUACACAAGCUAGCACUCGAGGAUGAGCCCGCGGGGCAUCAGGUAGUUGGUAGGGUAACGGCCUACCAAGCCAAAGACGCCUAGCUGGUCUGGGAGGAUGAUCAGCCACACUGGAACUGAGACACGGUCCAGACUCCUACGGGAGGCAGCAGUGGGGAAUCUUGCGCAAUGGGCGAAAGCCUGAUGCAGCGACGCCGCGUGAGUGAUGAAGGCCUUCGGGUUGUAAAGCUCUGUGGGGAGAGACGAAUAAGUGCGGGCUAAUACUCCGCAUGAUGACGGUAUCUCCUUAGCAAGCACCGGCUAACUCUGUGCCAGCCGCCGCCGUAAGAC